ensembl:snoRNA
AUCCUUUCGUAGUUUGUGGGUGUGAUUGGGAAUUCACACUCGUGUGAGGUGUGUCAUCAUUGAACCUUUUCACGACAUCGGCACAAGACCCAUCUAACA